rnacentral:lncRNA from 1 species
UUGCUGAAUUUGUUAGCUCUAGCAGUUUGUUGUGGAUUCUUUGGUAUUUUUUAUAUAGAGAGAAUCAUCUGCAAAUACAGAUAGGUUUAUUCUUCUUUUCCAAUUUGGAUGCCUUUUCUUUCUCUUGACUAAUUGCUCUGUUCAGAACUUCCAGUACAGUAUUGAGUGGCAGUGUGAAAGUGAGCAUCCUUGCCUCGUUCCUGAUCUUAGGGGGGAAGUCUUUCACCAUGGAGCAUGAUAUUAGUUGUGGAUUUUCCCAUAAAUGCCCUUUAUCAUAUUAAGGAAAUUCCCUUCUAUCCUUAAUAUGCUGAUUGUUUUGAUCAUGAAAGAGUGAGCCCAUUUUUUCUAAAGUGAAAGUUUGGCUCAAAGUAAUAAAGUGCUGACCUGAAAGAA